rnacentral:miRNA from 1 species
CCAACUCCUUCCAUUCC